rnacentral:lncRNA from 1 species
AUGUAAAAUGAUAAAAUCGCAAAAUAUAACAAGGAAAACAAGAAUUUCUAACUGUAUUAGCACUUAAAACUUUUGACCCGUGUCACUAAAUUAGAAGCAUUACAAAUAAAAAAAAAACUGUGAAGUCCAAUUCCAAAUAAAUCAAACACCGAAAGAUGUAUCCGGGAAAAAAAAAACAACCACAUAAAAAAAUUUAAUUAAAAAAUAAGGGUGAAAACCAAAAUAAAA